GAUGAACGCUAGCUACAGGCUUAACACAUGCAAGUCGAGGGGAAACGACAUCGAAAGCUUGCUUUUGAUGGGCGUCGACCGGCGCACGGGUGAGUAACGCGUAUCCAACCUGCCCACCACUUGGGGAUAACCUUGCGAAAGUAAGACUAAUACCCAAUGAUAUCCCACGAAGACAUCUGAAUGGGAUUAAAGAUUUAUCGGUGAUGGAUGGGGAUGCGUCUGAUUAGCUUGUUGGCGAGGUAACGGCCCACCAAGGCAACGAUCAGUAGGGGUUCUGAGAGGAAGGUCCCCCACAUUGGAACUGAGACACGGUCCAAACUCCUACGGGAGGCAGCAGUGAGGAAUAUUGGUCAAUGGGCGAGAGCCUGAACCAGCCAAGUAGCGUGCAGGAAGACGGCCCUAUGGGUUGUAAACUGCUUUUAUAAGGGAAUAAAGUGGGUCACGUGUGACUUUUUGCAUGUACCUUAUGAAUAAGGACCGGCUAAUUCCGUG
rnacentral:rRNA from 1 species